rnacentral:misc_RNA from 1 species
GAAAUUCUGAAAUUCUUAUUACUGUUCUCAUAUGCCAUAAGCAAAAUAAAUUUUUUCCAAGCAAAAGGCAUGCAGCAUACUGCAAAAUCCUCCAGUUUUCCAAUGCCAUUAACAAUUCAGUUAUACAUCUACAUGCUCGGAAGCUUACACACUACAGAUACUAUGUAUUUUGCCCCAUCUGAUGGCAUGCAUUGCAUAUCAUCAAAGGAGAGUUCAAACAGAAUAGGCGCAAAAAAACAAAAAUAUAAAGCAUAAUGCCAUCAAUAAUUGG